UGGAGAAGGGCCAUCAGGUGGAGAAGGGCUGGGAGGUGGAGAAGGGCCAUCAGGUGGAGAACGGCUGGGAGGUGGAGAAGGGCUGGGAGGUGGAGAAGGGCUGGGAGGUGGAGAAGGGCUGGCAGGUGGAGAAGGGCUGGGAGGUGGAGAAGGGCUGGGAGGUGGAGAAGGGCUGGCAGGUGGAGAAGGGCUGGGAGGUGGAGAAGGGCCAUCAGGUGGAGAAGGGCUGGGAGGUGGAGAAGGGCUGGGAGGUGGAGAAGGGCUGGGAGGUGGAGAAGGGCUGGGAGGUAGAGAAAGGCCGGGCAGGGUGUGCAGGGUUUCUGGGCCGGCAGGUUGGGGUUGGCCAGCAGGUGGCAGAGGUACCUGAAAAGUAAAGACCAUCAGUAUUCUUUACCUAUGCAGAUAUUCUGUACUGGCUCGGUCUAAAUAAAGCCCUAUUACAAAAGCUAACAACUUCAGGCCACUGGCUGGCUGAAGAUGAGCCUGGGAUCUUAUAUGGUAACCCUGAAAAAGUAGUUUCUCAAUGAACAGACGACAGACUUGGAAUUAAUGUUUUCAAAAAAAUUCUUGCUAGUGCAAGAGUGGUUAUCUUUUCCACAUUUGCUCUUCCUUCUUAGACACCUACAAACCUUGAAUGAGUACUCAGUCAAAGUAUUCACUUAUAUUGUGAAAAUAACCGUUUUGAAGCAGUUUAUAACAUGAAUACUGUCAACAUAGACCGGUGCAUUUAGAGGGUGCCGGACCUCAUUGGUUGAGGGAAUGGCAGCCGCAGCACCCUGUAAAAUAAAUUGUUAAUGCCAGGUACAGUGGUCUAUGUUUAUUUUAUUUGACCAGUUGUGCUUAUUUGUUAAUGUUCAUCUACCUUUGGUCGGAUGUACAGAUUGGACCGGCCCAUCAUGCCACGUCCCCGAAGGUCUCUCGGGCAGACAUCGACCAGUACGGUGAAUCUACGGCCAAUGAGCCUGCAGAGGUCGAAGGCCUCUGGCAUGUACGGCACUUUAUCCCUGAGGGCCUGCAGGAACUCCUCGCGGGACAUUGUGUCCUGCAGUACCACUGUGCAGGGAAAGUCUUCUUCAACCCUGCUCACCUUGUGUACAGCGGUACACCGCAAUGUCCUGCUUAAGGACGGAGACCUUUAUCAUGAGCAGUGUCCUCCGUGGUCUUCUCCUCCUGCUGCUUUGUGCGGGUCCUGCUCCUCCCUCCCUUCGAAACAGUGCAAACCUAGGAAAGUGUUCAUUUUAAUAACAAAUUAUUUUUUUUGCCUCUAACAACGUUUUUGGUAUCAAUCCGCAAGUCCGGUAACUUGUCAAUGUAAUUUGCGGGAUAUGUAUAAGAUAAGAUAAGAUACAACUUUAUUAAUCUCCCGUAGGAGAAAUUUGUUUGUUGCAGAACAGCCCAGCAGCAGUGGAAAGACACAGGAUAUAUUAACAAUGCAAUAAAUACAAUAAUUACAAAGUGCUAAUGCAUAAGUAGACGCUUAUAGUUAAAAUAAGGACAAAAACAAGACAAACAGAACCAACAUCAAGAUGGGUGAUGCAUAUACAUAUAUAUACGCAUACCUAAACACACACACACACACAUGCAUAUGCAAACACAGUGAUGUUGAUAGGUUUUCAAUGUAGUGAGUCCCCGGGACCCACAGGUGGCGAGUUGGGUGGGUCCCUGAGAAAUUCAAUGGGUCCCGACUCCCCAGUUUAAAAAAUGUGUUUCUUUUUUAUUAUUAUUAUUCUAUUUCUUAAAUUAAAUUAAUAGUGUUAAACUCCUUGAUGGUGGUAUGAUAUGGUUAGAGCUGGAGUACUCAACCGUUCAUGUUUAACACUAGAAACGCCGGGCCAUUUUUACUUACUCCUAGCGCCGCAAGAGGGGUCAAAUGACCCCUAAGUAAUUUUAAUGAGAGGCUGUGCAUUUGCACAUAAUGAUCACUAGGUGGCGCCAAUGAGCUAUUACCGCGCGAGCGCCACAUUUGUGUGUGUGUGGGUGUGUGUGUGGGUGUGUGUGUGGGUGUGUGUGUGGGUGUGUGUGUGGGUGUGUGUCACAAGCCUAGUCCUCACGAUUUUGUCAUAAAUGUACAUAUAUUCAAUCAGAAGGAUUGCAAAAAAAUCCUGUUUGAUUUGCUCAUUCGAAACGAAUGAGCACAGCAUCGAGCAGUGGAAACUUGGGUUUAUUUACUAUGAAGUUCGUAUUUUUAAUUGUUGAAAUGAAAUCAGCGGUGACGAGCUAGUUGUUUUGGUAGCGGCUAAAUUAGCAUGUCGCGAUACUUUGUACAGGGGAUCACGUCUGCGCCGAGUAGAUGCGCAGAGGGUUGAAACAGCGCUUGUCCGAUCUGCUCACAAGAAGGUUUCUUUGGCCAGUUACUGUGAUUAAACACGAGUUGUUUAAUGUUCACUAUGUAUCGUUUUUCAUGGGGAAAAUGAGAUGCGUCCCCGGGACGCAUGGAUAGUGAGUUUAGUGCGUCCUUUCAGAUUUUAAUGCGUCAGGGACGCAGGACGCGUACCUAGCAACAUCAC
rnacentral:lncRNA from 1 species